AUUGAACGCUGGCGGCAGGCCUAACACAUGCAAGUCGAGCGAGCGGCGGACGGGUGAGUAAUGUCUGGGAAACUGCCUGAUGGAGGGGGAUAACUACUGGAAACGGUAGCUAAUACCGCAUACCAUCAGAUUUGCCCCAAGGGGAUUAGCUAGUCGGUGGGGUAACGGCGAACAUAGGCGAAGAUACCUAGCUGGUCUGAGAGGAUGACCAGCCACACUGGAACUGAGACACGGUCCAGACGCCUACGGGAGGCAGCAGUGGGGAAUAUUGCACAAUGGGCGCAAGCCUGAUGCAGCCAUGCCGCGUGUGUGAAGAAGGCCUUCGGGUUGUAAAGCACUUUCAGCGGGGAGGCGUUACCCGCAGAAGAAGCACCGGCUAACUCCGUGCCAGCAGCCGCGGUAAUUC
rnacentral:rRNA from 1 species